rnacentral:rRNA from 1 species
UACGGAGGAUCCAAGCGUUAUCCGGAUUCAUUGGGUUUAAAGGGUGCGUAGGCGGAAUGAUAAGUCAGUGGUGCAAGCCUGCAGCUUAACUGCAGAACUGCCAUUGAUACUGUCAAUCUUGAGUAUAUUUGAUGUGGGCGGAAUGUGUCAUGUAGCGGUGAAAUGCUUAGAUAUGACACAGAACACCGAUUGCGAAGGCAGCUUACUACGGAUAUAUUGACACUGAGGCACGAAAGCGUGGGGAUCAAACAGG